rnacentral:rRNA from 1 species
UUGCCAGCAGCCGCGGUAAUACGUAGGGUGCAAGCGUUGUCCGGAAUCAUUGGGCGUAAAGAGCUCGUAGGCGGUCUGUCGCGUCUGCUGUGAAAACCUGGGGCUUAACCCCGGGCCUGCAGUGGGUACGGGCAGACUAGAGUGCGGUAGGGGAGACUGGAAUUCCUGGUGUAGCGGUGAAAUGCGCAGAUAUCAGGAGGAACACCGGUGGCGAAGGCGGGUCUCUGGGCCGUAACUGACGCUGAGGAGCGAAAGCAUGGGUAGCGAACAGGAUUAGAUACCCUGGUAGUCCAUGCCGUAAACGUUGGGCGCUAGGUGUGGGGCUCAUUCCACGAGUUCCGUGCCGCAGCAAACGCAUUAAGCGCCCCGCCUGGGGAGUACGGCCGCAAGGCUAAAACUCAAAGGAAUUGACGGGGCCCCGCACAAGCGGCGGAGCAUGCGGAUUAAUUCGAUGCAACGCGAAGAACCUUACCAAGGCUUGACAUGCAGGGAAAUCUCCCAGAGAUGGGAGGUCCGCAAGGGUCCUGCACAGGUGGUGCAUGGUUGUCGUCAGCUCGUGUCGUGAGAUGUUGGGUUAAGUCCCGCAACGAGCGCAACCCUCGUUCUAUGUUGCCAGCGGGUAAUGCCGGGGACUCAUAGGAGACUGCCGGGGUCAACUCGGAGGAAGGUGGGGAUGACGUCAAAUCAUCAUGCCCCUUAUGUCUUGGGCUUCACGCAUGCUACAAUGGCCAGUACAAAGGGCUGCGAGACCGUAAGGUGGAGCGAAUCCCAAAAAGCUGGUCUCAGUUCGGAUUGGGGUCUGCAACUCGACCCCAUGAAGUCGGAGUCGCUAGUAAUCGC